UACGUAGGGUGCGAGCGUUAAUCGGAAUUACUGGGCGUAAAGCGUGCGUAGACGGUUUCGUAAGUCGGGUGUGAAAUCCCCGGGCUCAACCUGGGAAAUGCAUUCAGGACUGGGCGGCUAGAGGACCGGAGAGGAUAGUGGAAUUCCCAGUGUAGUGGUGAAAUACGUAGAGAUUGGGAAGAACACCAGUGGCGAAGGCGACUAUCUGGACGGUUUCUGACACUAAGACUCGAAAGCGUGGGGAGCAAACAGG
rnacentral:rRNA from 1 species